UCUUAUUGUCAGGAAAAUUCCCUCUUAUAGGCAAGAAGUGAGUAACAUGUGUUGUUUUUUUUGUCAUAGGCAAACAUUUCGGCUUAUUUCUGUCUCUCUUCUCGGAUUGGACUAUGUGAGACCCCAGAACAAUGUAUGCGUGCCCUUCAGCCCCAGUAUUGGAGGUUUUGGGCCGUCAGGAGAGCUUGUUUGCCUGUGGAGUGGCAGCACAGUAGGCUAGCAAUUGGUGCGCGGCACUGGAGAAGCAUCUGUUCCAUCUACAGGCUCGUUUGGAGGAAAAUAACUAGGAGCGGGAGGGCCAAAUCCCUUCGACCGCAAUGUAGUGCUCGAGCAGGCAUUGCUUGGAUGAUAGGUCCAUAUAGACUGCCUGCUGGCCAGGCCUGGUACAGGCUGGCUGAAAGCGGGAGGGCCAAGUCCCUUUAACCGCUGUAUGGAGAUUUUGUCAAGGUCAGCUGGCUGAAAGUCACUUCUAUGCUACUUUCAAUCUCAUUCAGGAGCUCGUUUUCAACUCGCUCAAGAUUUUUUGAGAGUUGGUCAUCAUUAAGGGUGAACCUUGAGUGGAGGCAGGACAAGUCGCUGGAUUUGGAUUGGCUGGCCCUUCAAUCGCUCUUCUAUGUACGCGCGAUUUCGUGUGCCUCUUUUAAAAUCUCGAAACAGGCCGUUGAUCACGUGUCCUUCCAUGCGCACAACAGGUGGCAAUCGAAUCUGAUGAGAGAUGGGGCGCCAUCAAAAUGGGCCGUCGCCUCCCGCAUUGCAUGC